rnacentral:rRNA from 1 species
GAUGAACGCUGGCGGCGUGCCUAAUACAUGCAAGUCGAGCGAAGCGGGGACGGGUGAGUAACACGUGGAUAACCUCCUAUAAGACUGGGUUAACUUCCGGAAACCGGUGCUAAACCGGAAACUUAUAGAUGGAUCCGUGCUGCAUUAGCUAGUUGGUAAGGUAACGGCUUACAAAGGCAACGAUGCAUAGCCGACCUGAGAGGGUGAUCUGACACACUGAAACGGAGACACGGGCCAGACGCCUACGGGAGGCAGCAGUAGGGAAGCUUCCACAAUGGGCGAAAGCCUGACGGAGCAACGCCGCGUGAGUGAUGAAGGUCUUCGGAUCGUAAAGCGCUGUUAUUAGGGAAGCGGUACCGAAUCAGAAAGCCACGGCUAACUACGUGCCAGCAGCCGCGGUAAUAC